rnacentral:lncRNA from 1 species
CAUUCAUCAUCGCAUCAUGCGCAUCAUAUGCAUUGCAUCGACACUUCGUUGAUGCCAAUUUUCAAAACUGCAUCCGCUAUUAGUUGCCGGUUCUCUCUGUUUUUGUCGUCGACCAUUUUGAGACCAACCACACACGCACGCGCUAGCGAUAUCGAUAAAAUAUUGUUUUUAAAUGUGUGUAUAAAACUUUCUCACAUUGGAUUGAAACUUGGCAUGCGGUCUUAAUAGUGUGUAGGUAGGCCGCCUGCCAAAUUUCAUCGCAAUCGGAGUUCGAUUGAUGCUCGGACCGUUAAACCUAUAGCGGCACUAUAGCCGAUCCAACGUCAAACAUUUUCGUUGUAUUAAACGCCGAUGCUGGGCUUCCCGUUUUCCCUCUCUUCUACGCCUAGCGCCUCUAGACAGUGCACGGACCUCCACGCAACCUAGUCCGAAAACUCCCCCUGGACCCGAACCCGAUGUUCGUAACCGUUGGAUCCGGAUCAACCCCGUAAUACCCUAAGCCCUCACU